rnacentral:piRNA from 1 species
UCCAAUUAACACUUCAAAGGUAUCGAGGAC